rnacentral:rRNA from 1 species
GGGUUGUGAGGUUAAGCGACUAAGCGUACACGGUGGAUGCCCUGGCAGUCAGAGGCGAUGAAGGACGUGCUAAUCUGCGAAAAGCGUCGGUAAGGUGAUAUGAACCGUUAUAACCGGCGAUGUCCGAAUGGGGAAACCCAGUGUGAUUCGUCACACUAUCGUUAACUGAAUACAUAGGUUAACGAGGCGAACCGGGGGAACUGAAACAUCUAAGUACCCCGAGGAAAAGAAAUCAACCGAGAUUCCCCCAGUAGCGGCGAGCGAACGGGGAGCAGCCCAGAGUCUGAAUCAGCUUGUGUGUUAGUGGAACGGUCUGGAAAGUCCGACGGUACAGGGUGAUAGUCCCGUACACCAAAAUGCACAGGUUGUGAACUCGAAGAGUAGGGCGGGACACGUGGUAUCCUGUCUGAAUAUGGGGGGACCAUCCUCCAAGGCUAAAUACUCCUGACUGACCGAUAGUGAACCAGUACCGUGAGGGAAAGGCGAAAAGAACCCCGGCGAGGGGAGUGAAAAAGAACCUGAAACCGUGUACGUACAAGCAGUGGGAGCACCUUCGGGUGUGACUGCGUACCUUUUGUAUAAUGGGUCAGCGACUUAUAUUCUGUAGCAAGGUUAACCGUAUAGGGGAGCCGCAGGGAAACCGAGUCUUAACUGGGCGUUAAGUUGCAGGGUAUAGACCCGAAACCCGGUGAUCUAGCCAUGGGCAGGUUGAAGGUUGGGUAACACUAACUGGAGGACCGAACCGACUAAUGUUGAAAAAUUAGCGGAUGACUUGUGGCUGGGGGUGAAAGGCCAAUCAAACCGGGAGAUAGCUGGUUCUCCCCGAAAGCUAUUUAGGUAGCGCCUCGUGAAUUCAUCUUCGGGGGUAGAGCACUGUUUCGGCUAGGGGGUCAUCCCGACUUACCAACCCGAUGCAAACUACGAAUACCGAAGAAUGUUAUCACGGGAGACACACGGCGGGUGCUAACGUCCGUCGUGAAGAGGGAAACAACCCAGACCGCCAGCUAAGGUCCCAAAGUCAUGGUUAAGUGGGAAACGAUGUGGGAAGGCACAGACAGCCAGGAUGUUGGCUUAGAAGCAGCCAUCAUUUAAAGAAAGCGUAAUAGCUCACUGGUCGAGUCGGCCUGCGCGGAAGAUGUAACGGGGCUAAACCAUGCACCGAAGCUGCGGCAGCGACACUAUGUGUUGUUGGGUAGGGGAGCGUUCUGUAAGCCUGCGAAGGUGACCUGUGAGGGUUGCUGGAGGUAUCAGAAGUGCGAAUGCUGACAUAAGUAACGAUAAAGCGGGUGAAAAGCCCGCUCGCCGGAAGACCAAGGGUUCCUGUCCAACGUUAAUCGGGGCAGGGUGAGUCGACCCCUAAGGCGAGGCCGAAAGGCGUAGUCGAUGGGAAACAGGUUAAUAUUCCUGUACUUGGUGUUACUGCGAAGGGGGGACGGAGAAGGCUAUGUUAGCCGGGCGACGGUUGUCCCGGUUUAAGCAUGUAGGCUGGUUAUCCAGGCAAAUCCGGAUAAUCAAGGCUGAGGUGUGAUGACGAGGCACUACGGUGCUGAAGUAACAAAUGCCCUGCUUCCAGGAAAAGCCUCUAAGCAUCAGGUAACAUCAAAUCGUACCCCAAACCGACACAGGUGGUCAGGUAGAGAAUACCAAGGCGCUUGAGAGAACUCGGGUGAAGGAACUAGGCAAAAUGGUGCCGUAACUUCGGGAGAAGGCACGCUGGUGUGUAGGUGAAGCCCCUGCGGGUGGAGCUGAGACCAGUCGAAGAUACCAGCUGGCUGCAACUGUUUAUUAAAAACACAGCACUGUGCAAACACGAAAGUGGACGUAUACGGUGUGACGCCUGCCCGGUGCCGGAAGGUUAAUUGAUGGGGUUAUCCGUAAGGAGAAGCUCUUGAUCGAAGCCCCGGUAAACGGCGGCCGUAACUAUAACGGUCCUAAGGUAGCGAAAUUCCUUGUCGGGUAAGUUCCGACCUGCACGAAUGGCGUAAUGAUGGCCAGGCUGUCUCCACCCGAGACUCAGUGAAAUUGAACUCGCUGUGAAGAUGCAGUGUACCCGCGGCAAGACGGAAAGACCCCGUGAACCUUUACUAUAGCUUGACACUGAACAUUGAGCCUUGAUGUGUAGGAUAGGUGGGAGGCUUUGAAGCGUGGACGCCAGUCUGCGUGGAGCCAACCUUGAAAUACCACCCUUUAAUGUUUGAUGUUCUAACGUUGGCCCCUGACCGGGGUUGCGGACAGUGUCUGGUGGGUAGUUUGACUGGGGCGGUCUCCUCCCAAAGCGUAACGGAGGAGCACGAAGGUUAGCUAAUCCUGGUCGGACAUCAGGAGGUUAGUGCAAUGGCAUAAGCUAGCUUGACUGCGAGCGUGACGGCGCGAGCAGGUGCGAAAGCAGGUCAUAGUGAUCCGGUGGUUCUGAAUGGAAGGGCCAUCGCUCAACGGAUAAAAGGUACUCCGGGGAUAACAGGCUGAUACCGCCCAAGAGUUCAUAUCGACGGCGGUGUUUGGCACCUCGAUGUCGGCUCAUCACAUCCUGGGGCUGAAGUAGGUCCCAAGGGUAUGGCUGUUCGCCAUUUAAAGUGGUACGCGAGCUGGGUUUAGAACGUCGUGAGACAGUUCGGUCCCUAUCUGCCGUGGGCGCUGGAGAAUUGAGGGGGGCUGCUCCUAGUACGAGAGGACCGGAGUGGACGCAUCACUGGUGUUCGGGUUGUCAUGCCAAUGGCACUGCCCGGUAGCUAAAUGCGGAAGAGAUAAGUGCUGAAAGCAUCUAAGCACGAAACUUGCCCCGAGAUGAGUUCUCCCUGAGACUUUAAGUCUCCUGAAGGAACGUUGAAGACGACGACGUUGAUAGGCCGGGUGUGUAAGCGCAGCGAUGCGUUGAGCUAACCGGUACUAAUGAACCGUGAGGCUUAACCUUACAACGCCGAAG